CCUACGGGAGGCAGCAGUGAGGAAUAUUGGUCAAUGGGCGCGAGCCUGAACCAGCCAAGUAGCGUGAAGGAUGACUGCCCUACGGGUUGUAAACUUCUUUUAUAAAGGAAUAAAGUGAGACACGUGUGCCUUUUUGUAUGUACUUAUGAAUUAGGAACGGCUAACUCCGUGCCAGCAGCCGGGGUAAAUCGGGGGGACCGAGGGUUAUCCGGAUUUAGUGGGUUUAAAGGGAGCGUAGAUGGGUUGUUAAGUCAGUUGUGAAAGUUUGCGGCUCAACCGUAGAAUUGCCACUGAUACUGGCAGGCUUGAGUACAGUUGAGGUAGGCGGAAUACGUGGUGUAGCGGUGAAAUGCUUAGAUAUCACGAAGAACACCGAUUGCGAAGGCAGCUUACUAAGCUGCCACUGACAUUGAUGCUCGAAAGUGUGGGUAUCAAACAGGAUUAGAUACCCUUGUAGUC
rnacentral:rRNA from 1 species